GGGAAUGUGGCUUAGUGGUAGAGCACUUACCUAGCAUGCAUGAAGCCCUAGGUUCAAUUCCUCAGCACCA
rnacentral:tRNA from 1 species